rnacentral:ncRNA from 1 species
AUCAGACAAAGGCAAACCUAUUGAAAGAUAGGGACGCAAAGCCACAGGUCUUAUGUAUAAUAGUAAAGAUGGCUGGGCUGCCUGA